GCUGGAGGAGAGUGGAUGGUGCUGGGACUCCACCAGGACAAGGUCCUGAGAUGAUCAAGCUGCUGGGAGGUGCGGCUAAGCUUGUCAGGUGGCAUUGCAUGCGGAUCUUCUCCUUGGUUGACUGUGCCACACACCCAGUAAGGAGAAAGGCCAGAGUAUGGGCAAGACCAUGACAGAAGCAGCGUCUACUAAGCAUCAAACUGGGAGUCAGGGAUGCCUUCAGUCUAACCCUAGCUCUGACACUGAUUUACGCUGUAGCUUUGGAGCUCAAUGAACGAUGGAGAAUAAUGAUUCUGUCUGACUUUCUCCACACCAGCCAGCCGCUUGCAAACAGCUCGGGGGGCAGAAUGCCACGAGCCAUCAUCUGGCACCUGAACAAAUGGCCAAAUUGGAGAUGAAGGGUGCAAAGCACCACAUCAGUGAAUGACUUCGCUUCGGCCAAACAACACUGCGAUUUUCAUCUAGUCCACGAUUAACAUGUUCCACGGUAGGACGUGUCUGAAAUACUCUCUCUGCCUGCUUCUAGCCCAAGGUUCCUUUGUGAGAUGGGACUUCACCAGGCGUGAUCAGAUGCUUCCCGGAAGAGGUAUGCAUUGAAACACAUUACAGCCAGGGAUGUGACCUUUGCUGCUAGACAGGGUCGGUACCUGAAAGGAAACCUCAAGGGGAAAAUUAUGGCUGUUGGUGAGUCAGCUACAAAUCAGUGCCCCAGCCUGGUGUCAGCAGGCGCUGUGCGUCAUUCAGAUGAGAGGGCAAACUGCAGGCUGGAGCUGGGCAAAGUUCAGUGGGUCAGGUGUGCCUGGACCUUGGGGAACUUUAUUUCAUGGGGAGUUCACAUCCCCUGAAUUUUGUGCUGAAUUUCAGGCUUGAAUGAAUCCCCAAAGCAAAACUUGGGUGAAGCAGCCAAUCACAAAUGCUUCACUAGCGCACCUGGAGAAUGACUGAGGCAGGGACCGCAAAGGUUGGCCCAGGGGAACUGCUGGGUAGCAAACCAGGGCUGAGUUAAGGGUUUAUUUAAAAAAAAUGUUUGCACAGUUCCCCUCCAGCCUGUUUCCCUGGCACCCACUGUUGGCAUUGCUUCAUUAACCUCUCUGGCCCAAAUGCUCAUCUGUGUAGCGUACUGGUAAUCCUUUAGCAACCAGCAACUGUCAAUUAAUAAAUAAAGGUCCGGAAGCACAGUGAAUCCCAGAGAUCGGAGCUAUACAACGGGGGAGGCGUAGGCACCAUCUGGACUGUGCACCUGGCUAGCAUUGCUGGCUGGAGUGG